rnacentral:rRNA from 1 species
UACGUAGGAGGCAAGCGUUGUCCGGAAUUACUGGGCGUAAAGCGCGUGUAGGUGGUGGGACAAGUCUGCUGUGAAAGCGCCUGGCUUAACCGGGCGAGGUCGGCGGAAACUGUCCGACUCGAGGACGGUAGAGGGGGGUGGAAUUCCCGGUGUAGAGGUGAAAUUCGUAGAUAUCGGGAGGAACACCAGUGGCGAAGGCGGCUCUCUGGACAGGUACUGACGCUGAGACGCGAAAGCGUGGGUAGCAAACAGG